rnacentral:rRNA from 1 species
GCGAAGGUCGCGCCGGGCAGCAUUCCCCGAACGACACCCCAACGCCACCCCCGUGGUGGGUUGGGUCACUCGCUUAGAAUGCGAGGCCAGCCGAGGCUUCGUGUUCGUGUAUGAGGAUUCCAGCCCUGCGGUCCGCCGUUAAGAUGGAAUCUGAUGUGAGCCCACGGACCCAUGCAGUAGUCAACAUUGGCGUAGGAACCAAUGUGUUAGCUUCCGACGGAGUGCAACCGCUUCCGCCGCUGAUGUAUAUCAGCACAUUCCGGUUGAUCCUGCCGGAGGCCAUUGCUAUCGGAGUCCGAUUUAGCCAUGCUAGUUGCACGAGUUUAGACUCGUAGCAUAUAGCUCAGUAACACGUGGCCAAACUACCCUACAGACCGCAAUAACC